UUGGAGGAGGUGUGUCACCGGGGGUGGGGUUUGAGCCUUCAGAUCGGGAUGUAGCUAGCUGUCAUCUCUGGUUCCAGCGCCACGUGUGCAGUGUGCUCCCCGCAGUGAUGACCCCAAAUGAAGCCUCGGAAACUAGGUCUGUGAGUAAAGGAAGCUAAGAGGUUACCAGUGUUUCUGGUUCCGUGGAGCCUCCGUCGAAACAGUCUGUUGCAGAUCAGCCCCACUCCUCAGAUGUGAAGCUCUUCCUGUCUCGUGGGUCAAAGGUGAGUCCCAGGCCCUGCUGGGGAAGUCAGCUUCCUCUGUUUAGUCAGUUGCUUGUUAGACACAGGGUCCGGAUUCUUCCUUACAACCCCAGGAUAGAACAGCUGCGAGCACACAUCUGGACUCUGCUGGUAGGCCAGCCAGGUCACACCGAUCCUCUCUUUUGUACAAAAGGAAGGAGAUAAAGCUUCCCAGGAGCCCCAGUGUUCUCCGUGGAGUAGCUGAUGUGCAGUCAUUACCAUCUGCUGGUUUCCGUUUGUCAGCUAGAACGUUAGCCAUCUCUGAACCUACUCAGACUCUCAGUGAGAGAGCAGUCACUCCCACCCCUGGUCACCAAACCUCCCACUGCAUCUCAGGACUCUGUGGACACUUCCUUUUUGGGUCUGGGCUAAUUCAGUAAGCCUCAACUUUCUAAUUCCUCACAAGAGCCACGAAAAGCCAGCCUGUGCUUCUUGCUCACCAUAGCUGGCAGAACACGGCAUGGAGGCCACCGCAGUCAACACCAAAUCCCAUCUGGGAUCCUGACUCUGGCAUUGCUGGGAGUCUCUCGACACAGACAUCAGUCCCAUUCUUCAACGCCCAUCCAUCUGUUUCUUUUUCCUCAGACGUCUGGUCAUACGGUGGAAACGGCAGAAAGCUCUUUCGAAAGAGAUCUACCACAUGUCCAUGCAACGAUUACUUCUGAAAGUCAAGGGACUGUCUACCCUGCUUCCAUUGGAAUUAAGAAGGGACCGGGACAGACAGAAGAGCCAGAAAAGGGUGGCCUCCUCCUCCUCCCUGUGCAUCUCACUGACAAGUCAAAGGGAUGACCAAGAAGGUCUGGCACCAUCUAAGUUCUUUCUCAGUAGCAAAAUGAGGCACAGCAAAAAGCCACCAGCUGCCAUUAACCACACAGAGGCCGUGCUUACCACUGUCACCUUUCUUACUAAACAUCAGACCACCUAUGGCCUUCUUAAAGACAAGCCCUGGGUGACUCACCUUCCAGGCCCCAAGCAGUCUUUUGGAUGUUUCUCUAAAUAAAAGGUCACCCCUCCUGGGAGUAUGAUGACCCCCUCCCCUUCUGCAGAAGCAGCUUCUCCUGUGUGUCCUUCACCCCGGCAGGCUCCUCGGCACUCCAGAAGGUGGCCUGGCAGCAGAGUGACAAGCUUGGUGUGGAGACAUUCAGAUCCAGAUGUAGACUCUCAGCUCCCUCUCCAGCACUACGUCUGCCUGCACACCACCAUGCUUCCCGCCAUAACGAUAACAGACUGAACCUCUGAACUGUAAGCCAGGUCCAACGAAAUGUUUUCCUUUGUAAGAGUUUCAUGAAUUAAAAAAAAAUAGUUGCCA